rnacentral:lncRNA from 1 species
ACAUGGAAUCAUGAGAGCCUCAAACAAUAUUAGAGUGUCAAGUUAGGAGAAAGAUAUAUUUCAAGUUAGUUUCAAUAUUGUUAAGUUGAGAGAUUUUUAGGACAUAUACACCAUCGUAUUUUUAGCAUGGAGUCUGAUCUCAGCUCGAUCGGCUAAGCCAUAUCACCCUGAUACAUCCACUCACAACACCACUAUGUGUGCGGCAUGGCGUGCGAUCUCAGCCUGAUCGGCUAAGUCGUCUCACUACAAUGCCAUAUGGGUCAACAUCACAUCAUAUCCCAUUAGCAAUCAUCAUAUCUCAUUUAAGGGGAAAUAUUUCAACGUAUCUUACUAGCAGAAUCAGGAUAGACAGAAAACAAAAGUACAAGGAAAGACUUCUUCCGUUGCGGGUUGACAUGAUGGAGAAGCAGCUCACCGUAGAAGUCCCAAAUAUGCUCACGGGUGCGCACCAGAAUGAAAUCCAGAUCCACCUACCUCAGAUCCUGUACAUUUAAGUACAUACGGGUAGCAUGCGUACAUAAGCAAUAUGUACCUAGUAAGUAUCCCCUCUAAUCUCGAAGAAGUAGAGAUGAGAGGUCGACUUGGUACUUACUAGGGUCAAGUAAAACGAGGAGAAUUUACUAUAGGCGGGAAUAACUCAAUCAUACUGAUAAGCAAGUAUAAAACAACAAAUUUUCCUUUAACUUUCCACCAAGAGGGUCCAUUUAUGUCUAAACAAGUAUGAAAUUUAAUGCACAAAUAGUUCAAUGAAUAAAUCAUGUGCAAAUAAUCACGGAGGAACGUUCGGCCCCAUCAAACAUAAAAGUAAAUUGUGCACUGCCGAGGGUCGAACAACUCUAUUACCCCGUUCGCGAAUCAUCCGUGCGACAUGGUCAAACAUAUAUAAGCACCACAAACAGACAAUAAUAUAUAUCUGAGGAGCAAUAAAUCGAAGGAAAAUCCCAAUUCUCUUUUAAGGGUUAAAAUAAAUUAAGGUAACUUCACUAAUAGCACCUCCCUUAAUCAAUAGUUCAUACAAAUUCUGAAUUUAACAUCAAGUCACAAGAACAUCACGUAGAACAUGCUUUUGGGCCCUACACUACCCAGACUUAGCAUAUAAGCUACCACGCACGGACUCGCAUCACCUAGUACGUCUGUAGCCCCCACUUAUAAAAAAAAAUUUAUUCAAUUAUUAUACAUAUUCGGACAAUUUCCUCUUACAAGAUUAGAAAGGAGACUCACCUUGCUCCAAAGUGCACUUCCAAUUACCAAGAACGAGACCAAGUCCUUUCUUCGAAGCCGAACAAUACCUAACUAGUUAAACAAAGUAAGAACUAAUUAAUAUAUGCUCACAAGAUAAAUUCCUAGCUAUUUAAUCAAUUCCCAAACGCUUUACAUGAAUUUCAUAAAUUUUGAUUCCAGGCCCACAUGCCUGGAUUUAGAGAUUUUUCGAAAUUGUUCUCUAUAACCUAAGGAUCAACAAUAUAUAAUUUCUAGUUCAUUUCAUAGCAAAUUACAUGAUUAAAUCUUAGUUUUAUUAAAAACUUAGGUCUAGAUCUAACCCUUGAUUUUACUUAGUUAUUAGUGUUUAAUCUACCUAAUGUACAUGUAUUUAAACUAAAAAAGAAUGGGAAUUACUUACCUUACAAUGUUAUGUUGAAAUCCGCUCUUUGGAAGCUCCCAAAUCGCCCAAGUGUGGAGUUGUGAAUGAAAUAUAUGGCUUUGAGUUCGAAUUAAAUGAACUCACAUACCAGCGAUUAUUGCUUCUGCGGUUUGGGGACCGCAUCUACAGUCCCACACCUGUGAAAAAAAGGCCGCAUAUACGACUUUCGCAUCUGCAGUUUGGGAACAGCUUAUACGGAACCACUUCUGAAAUUUUCCACAACUUGGAAUUGGACACAUUUGCGAUAAUUUGGCUGCAUCUGCGGUCCUUGAAUCGCAGAUGCGGUUAUGAGAGAAGUAGUAACUCAGCUCUUUCUUCCAAUUUUAACUUCACUCGAGCCUCGAGCGUUUGAUGCACGGGGAUCUCGAGCCCCUCCCAAACAUAUUGAUAGGUCUGAAAUCACGAGGCGUACCUACUCAAACCCUCGGAACACUAAAAACAAUGCUAAAUCUAAGAACCACCUCCCAAAACCAAAUGCAUCAAACUAUUGAACUUCAAGUUCUUAAUUCUCUUCUAACGGGUCAAAAUGCCCUUAAACUACNNNNNNNNNNNNNNNNNNNNNNNNNNNNNNNNNNNNNNNNNNNNNNNNNNNNNNNNNNNNNNNNNNNNNNNNNNNNNNNNNNNNNNNNNNNNNNNNNNNNNNNNNNNNNNNNNNNNNNNNNNNNNNNNNNNNNNNNNNNNNNNNNNNNNNNNNNNNNNNNNNNNNNNNNNNNNNNNNNNNNNNNNNNNNNNNNNNNNNNNNNNNNNNNNNNNNNNNNNNNNNNNNNNNNNNNNNNNNNNNNNNNNNNNNNNNNNNNNNNNNNNNNNNNNNNNNNNNNNNNNNNNNNNNNNNNNNNNNNNNNNNNNNNNNNNNNNNNNNNNNNNNNNNNNNNNNNNNNNNNACUCGGAUUGACCCCAAAUUUUACGAGAAAGUCUUAACUGAUAUUUUGGACCUGUACCAAAGUUUUGAAACAAAAAUCCGAGCCCAAUACCUAGGAAAUCAAUGAAUACUUAGUUGCUUUAAUUACUUAAAACUUUAAUUUAACAAUUUCACAUAAAAAUUCAUUACUCGGGCUAGGGACCUCGAAAUUCGAUUCCAGACAUAUGCCCAUGUCACAUCUUUUCCCACGGACCCUCUGGGACCAUCAAUUCACAAAUUCGGGUUUGUUUUUCCAAAAAUUUAACCGAAGUAAAACUUGGUCUUUUAAGAGAAUCCAAAAGAUCCACAUUUUGUGGCUCUCAGAGAAACGGUACUCCAGGGAGGUGCCAAGGAAGUUUCUAUUGGCAAGGAUGGUGCACUACGGCUUCAGGGCCGUCUAUGUGUUCCUAAUGUUGAUUUUUUGAGAGAGAGGAUUCUAGAAGAGGCCUACAGUUUGAGGUUUUCCAUUCAUCCAGGUGCCACGAAGAUGUAUCUGACUUGAGGCGGCAUUAUUGGUAGCAGAGGAUGAAGAAGGACAUCAUGGAAUAUGUAGCUAGAUGUCUAAAUUUCCAGUAGGUCAAGUAUGAGCAUCAGAGGCCGGGCGGCCUACUUCAGCAGAUGCUUAUUCCCUAGUGGAAGUGGGAGCGCAUCACUAAGAAUUUCGUAGUUGGGUUGCCGCGGACCUUGCGGAAGGUUGAUUCAAUAUGGGUCAUUAUGGAUAGGUUGACCAAGUCAGCUCACUUCAUUCCAGUGGCGAAUACUUAUACAGCGGAGAGAUAUGCUCAAAUUUAUAUUCGGGAGAUAGACCAGUUGCACGGUGUGCUGGUUUCCAUCAUAUCAUAUAGGGUCCCUCAGAUCACUUCCCAUUUUUGGAGAGCCGUUUAGAGUGAGUUGGGGACCCGUGUAGAGCUUAGCAUACCAUUCCAUCCUCAGACCGACGGGCAGUCACAGCAGACAGUUCAGAUUUUAGAAGAUAUGCUUAGAGCAUGUGUGAUUAACUUUAGCGUGUAAUAGGAUCACUUCUUGCCUUCAACAGAGUUUGCAUACAACAACAACUACCAGUCCAGCAUAGAGAUGGCUCCAUGAUGCUCAAUAUUUUCCCAUAUAAGGGAAAACAAUCUCAUCACAUCAACAUAGGGAUUUACCCUUCAAUCACUCCUACACUGGCACGUAUUGUAUAGGGUUUAGAUAAUAUCGAUAUAUCCUUGCUCGGUGACUAAAUGAUACUCCUAAAACAUUUAUUAUUUCAAGUAUUUACAACUCAUUUCAUAAUCUUUCACACAUAUUUCCAUUUUAUUGGAACUUCUGGCCACAAUUAUAAUAUUAUUCUCGACACGUCGGUCGUAUUUCAUAUUUCAUGCUCACCUCUAUAACUUUCAACCAUCAUCAUGGUUUAUCAACAAUAAGGGAAUUUGAAAUCAAGACUUUAAGUGUAUAUAUGAGGAAUAAGAGUCUUAUCACAUUUAUUGUCUCUUCUACAAAUAGGCAUAUAUAUGAGGAAUAAGAGUCUUAAUCAUAUUUAGUGCCUCUUCUAAAAUUAGGCAUACUAACCUGUAAUUGAAACAUGAUUUUUAAAUCACAACACCUUUAAUAAAUUGGUCAUAAUAGAUUACAUUCUCGGAGGGAAUUAUGAUAUGAUGGGAAGAUUUAAAACAUAUUUUGAAUACAUACAUAUUUCAACACAGCACUUAUUUUAGAAUAACCAAAUUUAUUAGGAAAGACUUGAAACAUGAGAAAUAAGUGAUUGACCCAAUUAUAAUCGCAACUUACGAGGACAUCAUGGAAUCCAAAUUUUACAAAAGGAGUUUAGCCAACAUAUCUUGCUUGAGCCUUCCUUAAAUUAAUACAACAUUUUGUAAAUCCUAGCGACUUCAAUCUAGUAAAGACAUGACAAAAUUGAACCACCAUUAGGAAGAUACUCGGGGGUUCAGCUCAUUUGAGCAUUUUAUCAAAAAUAGGUUAGUAUUAUGAUUUUAAGGUUCUCCUAUGGAGGAUUCGUUCAUCCCACAACCCAAGAUUUUCCCAUUUGAGCUCAAUAACCUUCCCACCAACCUUGAUGGUAUGUGCAUGCAUAAGUAAUACUCUCACACCCAAGAAUCACACUUCUCAUUACACAUAUUCUAUCACAAAUUGGAAAUGGAAAGCUAGGUUAGAACCUUACCUCUUGGGGAAAGACCUUGUAUGUUUUCAUUGUGAAUUCUCUAAGACUUGAGCAAAGAUUGGUGAACCAAGCACUUGGGGCUUCCUCCUUUCUCUAAUACACUCCCUUAUCUCUAAAAUGGCGGUUUAAUCCUUCUAAAAUAACCCCCAAAGUCUUUUUAUAAAAAUGGGAUCAUGUGAAAUUUACCAAAAUUUAAACUUUACGAAGUCGGGUCUUCGGUCGUAGACCGGACUGCAAAACGGGUAUGCUGCCCGCAAAGGGGACCGCAGAAAUGGUCCCAAAAAUUAGGCAGGCAUAGAUAGGUCCAUGACUAAUCUGUGGUCGCAUAAUGGACCACAGAACUUCCUUUCUCGUGCCGGUUAUGUGAUAGAUGGGUGUCCCGCAAAACGAUUAUGUGGUCGUAUAGUUGACCACUAAACGACCUCUAAAAUCGGCCCUCUUUUUGCUUCACUCCACGACAGAUCUAUGGUUGCGUAAUAGACUGCAGAAAUUCCCUGGGGUGCAAUAAUUUUUCUUCAACUUCCCAAUACACAGCUCAACCCAAAUGUCUAUACUGCAGCGACCUUGAAUAAUUUCUACAAUCACCAAACAUAUAAGCCUACCUUGGCAUCACGAAACCCUGAAUUUUAGGUAAAAUUUUACGGGGCCUUACACAUAAGGCAGGUUCUUGCUUGCAUUUUUUAGGAACAAAGCUAAGGUGACAGAAUUGACCAACAUGAAAUAGCAUACUUCAAAUGAAGUUUCAAACAAAGAAUAGCCAAUACUAGUCUAAAGCACAUUAUAUAGGAGGUUGAAGCAUGGAAAACUAGUAGAGUCAUUGUGGAGCACAUCCUUUACAUGGUAUGCUUAAUAUGGAAGCCAUAACAUAAAAGGUUCAUAGUCAAGCAAUUACUUAAUUAGGCGGGAAAAAAAUUAAGAAUGUUGAACAUUAGUCACAGCUCAAUUUUAGAAGUAAGGCAUGCAGGCAUAAAAUCUAGCAAUAGUUGACCACAUAUAGGGGAAAAUGCUAGCUUUAAAGUUAGAACUAGUACCGAAGAAUACAUGGUUGAUCAAGCCAACAAACACAUAAUAGAAAUAGAAAUUGCAUGAGAACAAGUUGUAAUGGAUAAUCAGGUCCAAGAAAGGCAGAAAGUUAGGCAUGUAUGACUUAGUAGGAAUUAGAAUACCUCCUAGGCAUGAGUGUGAUUGACAUAACAGUCCAAAACAAGGCAAAGAGGCAAACUCAGCAUAACAUAGUAGACAAAACAAGUUUAGGAGAGCCAGAAUUCAUAGUGGACAAGGACACAAUAAAAUUGGAUUAUCGGACCACGUAUAAGUAAAAGGGAGAUAUUACAGUUCUCCUUAUUGGUUGUAAGUAGUAUCAAACAACACAUGAUUGAACUAGGCAUGUAACACACAUUAAAGCACACAAUUAGCAAGAAAACAUUUUGGGAUGACAACAUAGUUAGGCAUUGGUCCUACUAGAGUAUUUGACCAUAUGAGUUAACCUAUCACAAGAAUGCAGAACAAAGUAGGGAGAUAAAUGCAGGAAGAUUAGCAGGUAACACACAAAAACACACUACACUAGGCAUGCUUAAAGUAGUGAGAAUCUUUUAUGAUGAGCACAUAUAGUAGGCGUAGUAAUACAGAAAUACACACAUAUUAGGCUAAGAUGAGCCGAGGGACCCAAAUAUCAAGGGCUUAAAUCAAAAUUAGAGUAUUAGGCAGGUUCUAAGUCAAGAAAAGCAUAGAGCUAGAAGAUAACUUUAAAAAUCCCAAAAGAACCACAAACAAAGAUAACAUAGUAUCAUAUUGAUUCACUGAAACUCAAGUGGCAUGGUUUCACAAAGCAUUAGCACAAGAAAAAGGAUGAAAUUGAGAGAGUCACAGAUGCUUACCAAUAGAAACUACAAGUAAAGAGCUAACUUCAGCAAAACUUCGAUGGUCAGUAGCAAUAGAGAACAACACGACCGCAAUCCCAGUAUGUCAGAGUUCAUAAGGACUUCUGAUGAGUCCCGAGUAGUUCCCACACUGGAGGGAUUAGCAAUGCAAAUUCCUCUGGCCUUGUAUUUCAUUCAGCUAAGAACAAUAGAUUCAUAAUAAUAUCAAGUGAGUUAGAGUGAGAGAGAGUAGUGGUCAAGAUCCAUUUUAGGAGAAUUGGAGGAGUGGUUUAUAUAGUGACAGAUUAGGAAGAACAAACAUGAAAAAUAAUCAAAUAAACAUAAAUAAGGACGAAAAAGAUCACAUGCAAUCAUUAACAAACCUAGUAAAAGAGCUAAAAGAAUUUUCAAAUCCUAGUUAGGUCCAAUGACCAUGAAUCGGACCAAAAAUUCAAGAAUCACUUAUUGUAGAGUGUAUAUAGAUGAAACAUCACCUAGAUCUUCACAAAAUCGAGUCAAUCGGGCCUAUUUUGAAUGGCAGUAGUUGUCAAAAUUGGGCAAAAACUAAGUAACACCAUGAACGUGUGAGCAAUAGCAGGAUAAGGCAAGAAAAUCAUGAAAAGAUUCCGUAGUGUAGCCUAAUUCAGAGAGGAUUUGGGGGAUAAGGCGACUAGGGUUUUCAGAGAAAAAGGGAAGGUUAUAGAGAGUUUAGGGGCGCGGAUGGGUAGAAAUUUUCUCUAGGGUUUGGCAACGGGUUUAUAAGUAAACAGUUUGAGCGAUUACAGAAUAAACAGUAAUCAAUUGUUGGCCAUCAGUUGUGUUUGAGACAAUCAAUGGAUGUGAGCCUUGUGAAUGGUAAAUGGAGCAAGAUUUGAC